UACAGGGGGGGCAAGCGUUGUUCGGAAUUACUGGGCGUAAAGGGUCUGUAGGUGGCCAACUAAGUCAGACGUGAAAUCCCUCAGCUUAACUGGGGAACUGCGUCUGAUACUGGAUGGCUUGAGUGCAGGAGAGGAAUGCGGAAUUCCAGGUGUAGCGGUGAAAUGCGUAGAUAUCUGGAGGAACACCGGUGGCGAAGGCGGCAUUCUGGACUGUAACUGACACUGAGAGACGAAAGCCGGAGGGAAGGACAACGG
rnacentral:rRNA from 1 species